rnacentral:rRNA from 1 species
UACGUAGGGGGCUAGCGUUGUCCGGAAUCAUUGGGCGUAAAGAGCGUGUAGGCGGCCCGGUCAGUCCGCUUUGAAAGUCGGGGGCUCAACCCUCGGAUGCCGGUGGAUACUGUCGGGCUCGAGUACGGAAGAGGCGAGUGGAAUUCCUGGUGUAGCGGUGAAAUGCGCAGAUAUCAGGAGGAACACCUAUUGCGAAGGCAGCUCGCUGGGACGUUACUGACGCUGAGACGCGAAAGCGUGGGGAGCAAACAGG